rnacentral:rRNA from 1 species
CAAGCGAACAAGUGCAUGUGGUGGAUGCCUUGGCGAUCACAGGCGAUGAAGGACGCGGUAGCCUGCGAAAAGCUACGGGGAGCUGGCAAACGAGCUUUGAUCCGUAGAUGUCCGAAUGGGGAAACCCACUCCUUAUGGAGUAUCCAUGGCUGAAUACAUAGGCCAUGUGAAGCGAACGCGGUGAACUGAAACAUCUAAGUAACCGCAGGAAAAGAAAUCAACCGAGAUUCCCAAAGUAGUGGCGAGCGAAAUGGGAUGAGCCUUGCACUCUUUAUUUGUAUUGUUAGCCGAACGCUCUGGAAAGUGCGGCCAUAGCAGGUGAUAGCCCUGUAGGCGAAAACAGUAUGAAAGAACUAGGUGUGCGACAAGUAGGGCGGGACACGUGAAAUCCUGUCUGAAGAUGGGGGGACCAUCCUCCAAGGCUAAAUACUCGUGAUCGACCGAUAGUGAACCAGUACCGUGAGGGAAAGGCGAAAAGAACCCCGGGAGGGGAGUGAAAUAGAUCCUGAAACCGCAUGCAUACAAACAGUCGGAGCCUCGUAAGGGGUGACGGCGUACCUUUUGUAUAAUGGGUCAGCGACUUACGUUCAGUAGCAAGCUUAACCGUAUAGGGCAGGCGUAGCGAAAGCGAGUCCGAAUAGGGCGUUCAGUUGCUGGGCGUAGACCCGAAACCAGGUGAUCUAUCCAUGGCCAGGAUGAAGGUGCGGUAACACGUACUGGAGGUCCGAACCCACUAACGUUGAAAAGUUAGGGGAUGAGCUGUGGAUAGGGGUGAAAGGCUAAACAAACCUGGAAAUAGCUGGUUCUCUCCGAAAACUAUUUAGGUAGUGCCUCGUGUCUCACCUUCGGGGGUAGAGCACUGUCAUGGUUGGGGGGUCUAUUGCAGAUUACCCCGCCAUAGCAAACUCCGAAUACCGAAGAGUGCAAUCACGGGAGACAGACAUCGGGUGCUAACGUCCGGUGUCAAGAGGGAAACAACCCAGACCGCCAGCUAAGGUCCCCAAAUAUGGCUAAGUGGGAAACGAAGUGGGAAGGCUAAAACAGUCAGGAGGUUGGCUUAGAAGCAGCCACCCUUUAAAGAAAGCGUAAUAGCUCACUGAUCGAGUCGUCCUGCGCGGAAGAUGUAACGGGGCUAAGCCAUAUACCGAAGCUGCGGAUGCGAGCUAGUCUCGCAUGGUAGGAGAGCGUUCCGUAAGCCUGCGAAGGUGCCUUGUAAAGGGUGCUGGAGGUAUCGGAAGUGCGAAUGCUGACAUGAGUAGCGAUAAAGGGGGUGAAAGGCCCCCUCGCCGUAAGCCCAAGGUUUCCUACGCAACGUUCAUCGGCGUAGGGUGAGUCGGCCCCUAAGGCGAGGCAGAAAUGCGUAGCUGAUGGGAAGCAGGUCAAUAUUCCUGCACCGUCGUUAGAUGCGAUGGGGGGACGGAUCGCGGAAGGUUGUCCGGGUGUUGGAAGUCCCGGUCGCUGCAUUGGAGAAGGCGCUUAGGCAAAUCCGGGCGCAGGAUUCAAGGGUGUGGCGCGAGCUCCCUCGGGAGCGAAGCAAUUGGAAGUGGUUCCAAGAAAAGCCUCUAAGCUUCAGUCUAACGAUGACCGUACCGCAAACCGACACAGGUGGGCGAGAUGAGUAUUCUAAGGCGCUUGAGAGAACUCGGGAGAAGGAACUCGGCAAAUUGGUACCGUAACUUCGGGAUAAGGUACGCCCUUGUAGCUUGACUGGCCUGCGCCAGGAGGGUGAAGGGGUUGCAAUAAACUGGUGGCUGCGACUGUUUAAUAAAAACACAGCACUCUGCAAACACGAAAGUGGACGUAUAGGGUGUGACGCCUGCCCGGUGCCGGAAGAUUAAAUGAUGGGGUGCAAGCUCUUGAUUGAAGUCCCGGUAAACGGCGGCCGUAACUAUAACGGUCCUAAGGUAGCGAAAUUCCUUGUCGGGUAAGUUCCGACCUGCACGAAUGGCGUAACGAUGGCCACACUGUCUCCUCCCGAGACUCAGCGAAGUUGAAGUGUUUGUGAUGAUGCAAUCUACCCGCGGCUAGACGGAAAGACCCCAUGAACCUUUACUGUAGCUUUGCAUUGGACUUUGAACCGAUCUGUGUAGGAUAGGUGGGAGGCUAUGAAACCGGAACGCCAGUUUCGGUGGAGCCGUCCUUGAAAUACCACCCUGGUUUGUUUGAGGUUCUAACCUUGGCCCGUGAUCCGGGUCGGGGACAGUGCAUGGUAGGCAGUUUGACUGGGGCGGUCUCCUCCCAAAGCGUAACGGAGGAGUACGAAGGUACGCUAGGUACGGUCGGAAAUCGUGCUGAUAGUGCAAUGGCAUAAGCGUGCUUAACUGCGAGACCGACAAGUCGAGCAGGUGCGAAAGCAGGUCAUAGUGAUCCGGUGGUUCUGUAUGGAAGGGCCAUCGCUCAACGGAUAAAAGGUACUCUGGGGAUAACAGGCUGAUACCGCCCAAGAGUUCAUAUCGACGGCGGUGUUUGGCACCUCGAUGUCGGCUCAUCUCAUCCUGGGGCUGUAGCCGGUCCCAAGGGUAUGGCUGUUCGCCAUUUAAAGAGGUACGUGAGCUGGGUUUAAAACGUCGUGAGACAGUUUGGUCCCUAUCUGCCGUGGGCGUUGGAUAUUUGAAGGGGGCUGCUCCUAGUACGAGAGGACCGGAGUGGACGAACCUCUGGUGUACCGGUUGUGACGCCAGUCGCAUCGCCGGGUAGCUAUGUUCGGAAGAGAUAACCGCUGAAAGCAUCUAAGCGGGAAACUCGCCUUAAGAUGAGAUAUCCCUGGAGGCUUGACCUCCUUGAAGGGUCGUUCGAGACCAGGACGUUGAUAGGUCGGGUGUGUAAGCGCAGUAAUGCGUUCAGCUAACCGAUACUAAUUGCCCGUAAGGCUUGAUCC